rnacentral:lncRNA from 1 species
GCUAUUAAAAAAAAAAAAAAAAAAAAAUCUUUGGGGUCAACUUUCCACUUGUGCCUUUAGCUCUUGAACAAGUACUUUUAUGGUUUCUUCUAAUAUAUAGGAUUUAUCUGCAGCUCUGUGAAGAGCUUUUAAAUUUAAUCCAGCGUUGAAGUAGUAAUUUGUUGCUGGGGCUUUAUAACAGGCUUUUCUUUUAACUUUCCCGGGAUGCGGGCUCUUUGUGCGGGCUAAUCUGCGGUACACAAUGCCAAUCUGCUCGGGGUAUCUGGGGUUUGGACCUCAGAUGUCCUCAAAAUACAAGGAAUGGAAGUUGGUAGUAUUGCCACCUUCUCUGAAAAGCACAGCUGGGUCCACAGCCCACGGAGGGACACGUCCAGAGGAGCCAGGUUUCAAAGGGAAGAGCUACCCGAGUCUGGGAGAACAGAGCCAUGGAGUCCCACUGGAGAAGGUACCACGGGGUCGUGCAGAGGAGCACCCUUGGCUUUAACGAGCCAGAUCCUCCAUCAGCAGGUGAGCACCCCGUGGCCAGAUGCUCAUCACGAUGAGGCAAAUUCUGCACCUUGCGGGACGCUGUCACCUCUCCAGAGGAAAGCAGGAUGCUAAAAAGCACACAUGGUUUCCUCCCUAAAUUAGAAAGAGCGUCUAAAGCUGUUAAGAUUAGUGCACAUCAAUCCCAGCAUUUGAAUCAAGAGAUACUUUUGUUUGACAACUAUUGGGGGGGAAAAAAAAAAAAAACCACCAUAAUUUCAUUCAAAGUGCAUUUAGUAAGACAGAAGGAGACAGAUUUCUUUGACAGUUUUACAGCUCUUAUCAGAUUACAUUAAAAUUAAAUUAAAACAAUCUAAAAGAAGUGUUAAGUACUGAAGGGAGAACACAAACAAAACACUCCUCUUUGUAGGCUUUCAGGGACGGGGAACUGAUGUUAGUUAUCAGGGAUGUGAGUAAUAAGAUUAUUCUGGAGUCAAUUAUGAACCCAUCAGUGUCAGUCCUGGGGCUGCAGAGGGUGAGCACACACCCUGCACUGAGACAAGGAACACAGAGGCCAGAGGAACAAAAUGAAAGCGUACUGGGGGGACCAGGCUAAGCCCCCUUAUUUCCUUUUUUUUUUUGGUGUGUAAUAAAACAUCAGAGUGUUUAACCCUGCCUGUUUUU